rnacentral:rRNA from 1 species
GAACGCUAGCUACAGGCUUAACACAUGCAAGUCGAGGGGCAGCAUGGUCUUAGCUUGCUAAGGCCGAUGGCGACCGGCGCACGGGUGAGUAACGCGUAUCCAACCUGCCUUACACUCUUGGACAGCCUUCUGAAAGGGAGAUUAAUACAAGAUGUUAUCAUGAGUAAGCAUUUUCGCAUGAUUAAAGGUUUACCGGUGUAAGAUGGGGAUGCGUUCCAUUAGAUAGUAGGCGGGGUAACGGCCCACCUAGUCUUCGAUGGAUAGGGGUUCUGAGAGGAAGGUCCCCCACAUUGGAACUGAGACACGGUCCAAACUCCUACGGGAGGCAGCAGUGAGGAAUAUUGGUCAAUGGACGAGAGUCUGAACCAGCCAAGUAGCGUGAAGGAUGAAGGUUCUAUGGAUUGUAAACUUCUUUUAUACGGGAAUAAACGGAUCCACGUGUGGAUUUUUGCAUGUACCGUAUGAAUAAGGAUCGGCUAACUCCGUGCCAGCAGCCGCGGUAAUACGGAGGAUCCGAGCGUUAUCCGGAUUUAUUGGGUUUAAAGGGAGCGUAGAUGGGUUGUUAAGUCAGUUGUGAAAGUUUGCGGCUCAACCGUAAAAUUGCAAUUGAUACUGGCAGUCUUGAGUACAGUUGAGGUGGGCGGAAUUCGUGGUGUAGCGGUGAAAUGCUUAGAUAUCACGAAGAACUCCGAUUGCGAAGGCAGCUUACUAACCUGUAACUGACAUUGAUGCUCGAAAGUGUGGGUAUCAAACAGGAUUAGAUACCCUGGUAGUCCACACGGUAAACGAUGAAUACUCGCUGUAGGCGAUAUACAGUCUGCGGCCAAGCGAAAGCAUUAAGUAUUCCACCUGGGGAGUACGCCGGCAACGGUGAAACUCAAAGGAAUUGACGGGGGCCCGCACAAGCGGAGGAACAUGUGGUUUAAUUCGAUGAUACGCGAGGAACCUUACCCGGGCUUAAAUUGCAACCGAAUAUGGCGGAAACGCUAUAGCUAGCAAUAGCGGUUGUGAAGGUGCUGCAUGGUUGUCGUCAGCUCGUGCCGUGAGGUGUCGGCUUAAGUGCCAUAACGAGCGCAACCCUUGCCGAUAGUUACUAACAGGUCAUGCUGAGGACUCUGUCGGGACUGCCAUCGUAAGAUGUGAGGAAGGUGGGGAUGACGUCAAAUCAGCACGGCCCUUACGUCCGGGGCUACACACGUGUUACAAUGGGGGGUACAGAGGGCUGCUACCACGCAAGUGGAUGCCAAUCCCAAAAACCUCUCUCAGUUCGGAUUGAAGUCUGCAACCCGACUUCAUGAAGCUGGAUUCGCUAGUAAUCGCGCAUCAGCCACGGCGCGGUGAAUACGUUCCCGGGCCUUGUACACACCGCCCGUCAAGCCAUGGGAGCCGGGGGUACCUGAAGUGCGUAACCGCAAGGAGCGCCCUAGGGUAAAACUGGAGACU